rnacentral:lncRNA from 1 species
GUUUGGGAGGAAGAAAAUUACAAAGGCUAUGUAGGAGGUGUGAUUAGUCAACUUCGGGAUCAUUACCCUGACGUCUCAAUAUUGGUUUUUAAUUUUCGUGAAGGGGAAUCACAGAGCCCAAUGGCAAAUACUCUGUCUGAGUAUGAUCUAACAAUAAUGGACUACCCUCGGCACUAUGAGUGUUGUCCCUUGCUUUCAAUGGAGGUGAUACACCAUUUUCCCUGUCUGAGUAUGAUCUGACAAUAAUGGACUACCCUCGGCACUAUGAAGGCUGUCCCUUGCUUUCAAUGGAGGUGAUGCACCAUUUUCUAAGAUCCAGUGAAAGUUGGCUCUCACUUGGGCAGCAAAACGUG